rnacentral:rRNA from 1 species
GACUCCUACGGGAGGCAGCAGUGGGGAAUAUUGCACAAUGGGCGCAAGCCUGAUGCAGCCAUGCCGCGUGUAUGAAGAAGGCCUUCGGGUUGUAAAGUACUUUCAGCAGUGAGGAAGGCGGAGUCGUUAAUAGCGGCCUCGUUUGACGUUAGCUGCAGAAGAAGCACCGGCUAACUCCGUGCCAGCAGCCGCGGUAAUACGGAGGGUGCGAGCGUUAAUCGGAAUUACUGGGCGUAAAAGCGCAUGCAGGUGGUUUGUUAAGUCAGAUGUGAAAGCCCGGGGCUCAACCUCGGAAUUGCAUUUGAAACUGGCAGACUAGAGUACUGUAGAGGGGGUAGAAUUUCAGGUGUAGCGGUGAAAUGCGUAGAGAUCUGAAGGAAUACCAGUGGCGAAGGCGGCCCCCUGGACAAAGACUGACGCUCAGAUGCGAAAGCGUGGGGAGCAAACAGGAUUAGAUACCCUGGUAG